AUUGAGUCAGCUAUGUUGAUGGAAGACCAUGUAGAUGAUAAUGCUAGAAGGGACAAUGCUAAUCCAGAAAUAGACAAAAUGGAUGCUGACUCUGCUUCUUUUUCUUCAACAAAGUUUGCGAAUGGCAAUGAGGAUGAUGUGACAAUGCAUGCCAGAUUAUUAGAUGCUUCAGCUAAUGGCAUAAAAAGAGAUAAGGCCUGUCGGAGGCUUGAGAUACCGGUUACCGAGAAUAUAUAUGGUGGAAUGACUGAUGCUGAACUUUCAGAGGCUAAAGAGAAGGAAUUUCAGUUAGCUCA
rnacentral:misc_RNA from 1 species